CUGGAGCGGUGUUGUGAGAUUUGGAAGACCUGAGAACUGGAGUAAGGGAGACCCUACCCUACAGCAUCUAAGGAUUGGGGGUAACCCCACCUAAGGGGGACAAGGAGCGGUGUCUGGCCCCAUUGAAGCUACAGGAGGCUAAAGAGGCUCAGAUUUGACUGUGAUGAACACCGUAUAACUACUUGGAUGGAUUACCUUAUGACUGAGGGCCUGGUCCUGUGUGGUACUGAACAGCUUCAGCUCCCAUGGAGCCCAGCUUGCAGAGGCCACUCAGCCUUUGCAGGGUUGCGCCCACAGAACAAUGGCUUAAAUAAAGUUCCAAUACUUUAAUACAUCUUCUUUAGGGAUGUGCCUCAUAAGCAACUUUUUCACCACCUCUACAAAGAAAUACAUCUUCCCAGUGAUAUUUCCAGCACUUUCAUUUCAUAUGUAGAUGUGAAGUCUUGUGAUUUGUAAGUUACAUAUAGGUUCAAUCUUAGUAUUGCCUGGAGCACCCACCACCACAGUAUCUCUGAGGUUCUCCCCCCCCCUUGUUUGAUUUAAACCUAAAGCAUACCUAAAGCUCAACAUCCAAAAAGGCUCAUAAACUUCUUGCACAGGUAACAUGCUCAUAAUGUAAAUGAAGGUAAUUUAGGGUUCAAUUCUGCAAACACUUAUUAGUACAUGUAAUCCUUAUGUAUGAAAGCAGUGACUUCAAAUGGCAUCAUGCAAGCAAAGACUGCUCACUUAAGUGUUUUCAAGGUUAAGUCCUAAAAAUUAAGCUCUUCAUGGACAUGGUCUUUUAUUGGACAGCAGGUAGCAGAACCUGUACAUAUUUUCUCUGUACAUAAUUUACAGAGCUCUACCACCUUGUUUUACCAAAAAUGGCCUGGACACAAUGGUAUAGAGCAUCAACACCUAAAACAACACUCACUUCUAAAUGCUUACUGCCAGAUGUUCUGCAGCUUUUUUGACCAAUACCUGCAGAGUACAGGAUCUGUUAGACUAGAUUUAAACAUUUUUAGCUAAUUUAUCAUCAACAUUCA